rnacentral:rRNA from 1 species
UACGUAGGGUGCGAGCGUUGUCCGGAAUUAUUGGGCGUAAAGAGCUCGUAGGCGGUUUGUUGCGUCUAUCGUGAAAACCUGCAGCUUAACUGUGGGCUUGCGGUGGAUACGGGCAGACUAGAGUUCGGUAGGGGAGACUGGAAUUCCUGGUGUAGCGGUGAAAUGCGCAGAUAUCAGGAGGAACACCGGUGGCGAAGGCGGGUCUCUGGGCCGAUACUGACGCUGAGGAGCGAAAGCGUGGGGAGCAAACAGG